GCCACAGCCAUAUUCGGUCACUUUCAUAGUAAGCUGUUAUUAUACCAAAAGAGCUCCCCAUAACAACGUCAAGCACCACUGGCGUAUAGACGGGUCCAUUCUUUCGCUGUUUCUACAGCUUCUGCUUCAUUUGACUUCCAAUGCUUUGCAAUAUUCUCCGACAGGGGAUCAUCAGGAUUUGGAGCACUCAGGAGUGCUUGAAUGCUUAGCAGUACCGUGCGAAUCUGCAGAGCAGGACUCCAUUUAUCUUUAAGAAUGUCGAGGCAUAUUCUUCCAAGCUUGUCAAUGUUUGGAUGGUAUAUCUUGGUGAGAAAGCGAACCUUAGGGGCAGCCAUAGGAUACUCUUCAGGCAAAAACAACUCAAGCUUGAAUACCCCACCUUCAUAAGGCGAUUGCGUCGGGCCGAGAAUCAUAACAUUGAAGUAGCGCAUGUUCUCCUCCGAGGGAGAAGCGCUGAUUCCGGGAGCUGGCUCGCUGAGGAGGCGCUGUGUUUCCUUAAUGAUCCGGCGAGGGAGAUUGCUGUUCGCCAUCGCCCGUCGCUAGGGUUCGAGGC
rnacentral:misc_RNA from 1 species